GUGCCUUUUUAAGAUUGUCUUAAGAGGCAAACACAGAGGGUGAGGGAAAUCUCCAUAAAACCAAGAGACGAGAUGGUAAAACUCCUCUUUGGAUCAUGUCUGUAGUUGCCACU